rnacentral:rRNA from 1 species
AGCAGCCGCGGUAAUUCCAGCUCCAAUAGCGUAUAUUAAAGUUGUUGCAGUUAAAAAGCUCGUAGUUGAAUUUCGGAAUCUGUCUAUCGGUCGGGCUUCACUGUCCGUACUGGUGUGGUGGGUUCUUACCUUCUGAAUAACCAGCAUGCCAUUCACUUGGUGCGUUGGGGAAGCAGGACUAUUUAUUACCUUGAAAAAUUAGAGUGCUCAAAGCAGGCUAGUGCCUGAAUACAUUAGCAUGGAAUAAUAAAAUAGGACGGCAUGGUUCUAUUUUGUUGGUUUCUAGGAUCACCGUAAUGAUUAAUAGGGAUAGUUGGAGGCAUUAGUGUUCAAUUGUCAGAGGUGAAAUUCUUGGAUUUUAUUGAAGACUAACUUCUACGAAAGCAUUUGCCAAGGAUGUUUU